rnacentral:rRNA from 1 species
CCUACGGGAGGCAGCAGUAGGGAAUUUUCGUCAAUGGGCGCAAGCCUGAACGAGCAAUGCCGCGUGAACGAGGAAGGUCUUCGGAUCGUAAAGUUCUGUUGAAGGGGAAAAAGAGCGGAGAGAGGACAUGGUCUCCGAUUGAUAUUACCCUUCGAGGAAGUCACGGCUAACUACGUGCCAGCAGCCGCGGUAAUCCGUAGGUGGCGAUCGUUAUCCGGAUUGAUUGGGCGUAAGGGGUGCGUAGGCGGCCUGCUAAGUCUGGAGUGAAAGGUACUGGCUCAACCGGUACAGGCUCUGGAAACUGGCGGGCGAGAGAGCAGGAGAGGGCGGUGGAACUCCAUGUGUAGCGGUAAAAUGCGUAGAGAUAUGGAAGAACACCAGUGGCGAAGGCGGCCGCCUGGCCUGUUACUGACGCUGAGGCUCGAAAGUGUGGGGAGCAAACAGGAUUAGAUACCCCAGUAGUC